AAAAAGGCUCGUAGAUUAAAUUUCUGCGUUCGCCCGACUCGGCUACUUGCCUUGUCUGGUGUUCGCUUUUGGGGUUUUCCCCUUUUUACUUUGAGAAAAUUAGAGUGUUUCAAGCAGACUUGUGUCUUGAAUACUUCAGCAUGGAAUAAUAAAGUAGGACUUUGGUUCUAUUUUGUUGGUUUGUGAACCUUAGUAAUGGUUAAUAGGAACGGUUGGGGGCAUUCGUAUUUAACUGUCAGAGGUGAAAUUCUUAGAUUUGUUAAAGACAAACUACUGCGAAAGA
rnacentral:rRNA from 1 species